rnacentral:lncRNA from 1 species
UUAUUUUCUUAAUAUCUAUAAUUUCUAUGUUUUUAAGUAUAUAUAAUAUUAAAACUUUAAGAUAAUCUAAAUGAUCUAUUUUUAAAAUUGGUUUUAUUAUAAUAUUUUGUAGUUGUUUGUUUUAGCCUUAGUAGUUUUUGCAUAUUUUUAUUAAGAAAUUUUAUAUCUUUGUUUUCCAUGUAUUUAUCUAUAUUUAUUUUUAU